rnacentral:rRNA from 1 species
CUACGGGGGCUGCAGUGGGGAAUAUUGGACAAUGGGCGAAAGCCUGAUCCAGCCAUGCCGCGUGUGUGAAGAAGGCCUUCGGGUUGUAAAGCACUUUCAGUGGGGAAGAAAGCCUUGGGGCUAAUACCCUCGAGGAAGGACAUCACCCACAGAAGAAGCACCGGCUAACUCCGUGCCAGCAGCCGCGGUAAUACGGAGGGUGCGAGCGUUAAUCGGAAUUACUGGGCGUAAAGCGCGCGUAGGCGGUCUGAUAAGCCGGUUGUGAAAGCCCCGGGCUCAACCUGGGAACGGCAUCCGGAACUGUCAGGCUAGAGUGCAGGAGAGGAAGGUAGAAUUCCCGGUGUAGCGGUGAAAUGCGUAGAGAUCGGGAGGAAUACCAGUGGCGAAGGCGGCCUUCUGGACUGACACUGACGCUGAGGUGCGAAAGCGUGGGUAGCAAACAGGAUUAGAUACCCUGGUAGUC